rnacentral:rRNA from 1 species
AUGAGCUCCCGGAUGGCCGGAUCGGUCCUCCUCCGCCGCGCCGGCGCCGGCGCCGGCCGCCUCUUCGCCACCACCGCGUCCCCGGCGGCCAGGACCGCCCUCGGUGGAGGUGAGGGCGCGUGGGUGCGGAUGAUGUCCACCUCCGCGGCCUCGCAGGUCAAGGAUGAGGCGGCCAAGGGGGUCAAGGCGGAGGCGGCCAAGGGCGACGGGGAGAAGAAGGAGGUGGCCAUCAGCAGCUACUGGGGGAUCGAGCAGUCGAAGAAGCUGGUGCGCGAGGACGGCACCGAGUGGAAGUGGUCUUGCUUCAGGCCAUGGGAGACGUACACCGCUGACACGUCGAUCGAUCUGACCAAGCACCACGUGCCCAACACGAUGCUCGACAAGAUCGCCUACUACACCGUCAAGUCCCUGCGCUUCCCCACCGACAUCUUCUUCCAGAGGAGGUACGGCUGCCGCGCAAUGAUGCUGGAGACUGUUGCCGCCGUGCCGGGGAUGGUGGGCGGCAUGCUCCUGCACCUGCGCUCCCUCCGGCGCUUCGAGCAGAGCGGCGGCUGGAUCCGCGCGCUGCUGGAGGAGGCCGAGAACGAGCGCAUGCACCUCAUGACCUUCAUGGAGGUGGCGCAGCCGAGGUGGUACGAGCGCGCCCUCGUCAUCGCCGUCCAGGGCGUCUUCUUCAACGCCUAUUUCUUCGGCUACCUCAUCUCGCCCAAGUUCGCACACCGCGUCGUCGGGUACCUCGAGGAGGAGGCCGUCCACUCCUACACCGAGUUCCUCAAGGACCUCGACGACGGCAAGAUCGACAACGUCCCCGCCCCUGCCAUCGCCAUCGACUACUGGCGCCUCCCUGCCAACGCCACCCUCAAGGACGUGGUCACCGUGGUCCGCGCCGACGAGGCUCACCACCGCGACGUCAACCACUUCGCAUCGGACGUGUACUACCAGGGUAUGCAGCUGAAGGCCACCCCGGCGCCGAUCGGAUACCACUGA